UAAAUUAGUGCCUAUUAAAUCUCUUUCCUUUCCUUGUUUUUAGGAUAGUAUAGCAGAACAUUGGGAGGUUGAGACAUGGAAUCAGCAGUUCAAAGCCACUGAAUAUCGUUUAUUAAGUCAGAGUUCUGAAAGAAGACAGGUUUGGAGUCAAGGAGAUCCAUGGGGAGACCGAAUCAUCGUACAGGAAAUGCAUAUCAGAAGUGUGGCUUACCGAAUGGUGACCAGGAAAGUGAGAGCCGGCAUGAAAGGCCAGAGAAAAUCAUCUCCAAAAACAUGCUCCUCUGUGGCUGAGGAGAUAGAUGACUAGGGGGUAAAAUUCCUUGGGGUGAAAGUCUGGAGACCCAAGUUCACAACUCUAGUAUCCAUAUGUCAGCAACACAUAGUAAUUACAGUGUUCGCUAGGGAGGAAUGGGCAACAGAAACAGGAGCCUCUCCAGAAGCUGGUAGGUCAGCUUCACACAGUGGUGAGGAGAACCAGCUCAUAUAAGGUAAAAAGGCAAGGCCCAAAAUCUGAAGACUGCUCUCUAAAGUCUGCAUUCACAUAGGUACAUUUGUGUCAUGUGGGUGUGUAUGAACCGCAACUCACUUCCUUUCCUGUGACCUAUAUCUAAGCAGACCCCCAACUGCCACAUCUCCACAACCUCCCAGUAGUCAAUUCAAAGUCAUGAACACACCUAUGACUAACCAAUUGAUGUUGUAGGCAGGGUCUCCAUAUUCAAUUCUGUCCCCUACCUCUGAAUAUUACUUACCCUAAGGACCCUGUCUUCAGGACACCCACUUUUGGGAGGGCACUUCAUAUCCCAGUCAUCUCACUCUCUUACCUGUCCUGGCUUCUCCGUGUUUUCUAGCACUGCAUCGGUGGAGGAGGAUUCUUCCCAGAAUUUGAUCCCUUGGAGUGUGGAGACUUUGCUGCAUUUGAUGGGAAUGGAUAUGGAACUCACAUUGGGUGCAGCAGUAGCCGGGAGAUAACUGAAGCAGCUGUGCUUCUGUUCUAUCGCUGAGAACUCUGCGGGAUUGGCCCUGACUUCUCCAAUCUAUGGGCUCCAAGGCAUGGGAAACACUGACUUAGUAACUAGAAUGCUAAUGAGCAAUAAAGCAGAAUAAAUCAUGUUC
rnacentral:lncRNA from 1 species